CGAUAGCGAACAAGUACCGUGAGGGAAAGUUGACAAGCACUUUGGAGAGAGAGUUAAAAAGUACGUGAAACCGUCGAGAGGCAAACGGGAGGGCCUGUCGGGUCGUUCGGUCGCUUUCAGGCGGGCCGGAGACCGGGUCGCGGGAUCGGGGACCUUCGCGGGCCUCGACUCGCGUCGCCGGCCGACGGCUCGGCGCACUAGCGUCGGACGAGGGCCGCGACCGGCUGGGCGGCGGGCAAACGGCUCCGGGCAAGGUAACCCCGCUUCGGCGGGGUGCUACAGGCCCGGUGCGCGCAAGGGUCGCCGCCCGGUCGAGGAGAGAUGCGCGCCGCACCUGCCCCGUUCGCGGGGCCGGGGAAGCCGUUCGAGCAGCGUCGUGUCGCGGUCCGGGACUGUCCUCAGUCCCGGGUCGUCUCGGCGCGGUUCCGAGCGGUCGCUCCCUCGCGAGGUGCCGCGGGUCAGCGGCUGACGCCAGCCACCUUCCCGACCCGUCUUGAAACACGGACCAAGGAGUCUAACAUGUGCGCGAGCCGCGGGGCAGUACGAAACCCGUAAGGCGAAAUGAAGGUGAACGCCGGCGCGGUCCGGCGGAGGUUGGAUCCCGUCCCGUCGGGGCGGGCGCACUACCGGCCGAUCUUCUCCGCCCUGUCGGCGAGGUCGAGCGAGAGCGUGCAAGUCGGGACC
rnacentral:ncRNA from 1 species